rnacentral:rRNA from 1 species
UACAGAGGGUGCGAGCGUUGUCCGGAAUCACUGGGCGUAAAGGGCGCGUAGGUGGUUGGGGAAGCGUGUGGUGAAAGCCCGGGGCUCAACCCCGGGUCGGCCAUGCGAACUGCCCGACUGGAGCACGGUAGAGGCCAAUGGAAUUCCGGGUGUAGCGGUGGAAUGCGUAGAGAUCCGGAAGAACACCGGUGGCGAAGGCGGCUCUCUGGACCAGCACUGACACUGAGGCACGAAAGCGUGGGGAGCAAACAGG